UGGUAAUCUUCCAUUGGGUCU
rnacentral:siRNA from 1 species